AGGCAGAUGACAUGCAUCUUAGCCCCUCUUCAUAGCUUUAUAACUCCGGAUGUGAGUCUCGUAUGAUCUCGUGAUGAGAUGGAAUGGAAAGGCCAGCUCUACGGAUUCAGGAAGGGUUUGAACUGGAUUUCUGAGCUGGAUCUUCAGAAAGAUACACAAACACCUUUUCUCAGAAUGAGUAGUUCACUGAUAAUUUUUAUAUUCCAAUGCCUUAAUGAGAUGCUGAUAUAUAAGAAGAUAAGCACCAUUACCGACCCAGUGCCUUGGUGAGGGCUGUACACUGGAUUCUGAUGCAUUUCACAUAAAAUUACAGUGCAAAAAGUAGCGAAGUUAUCUUAAAGUCAGUCGGUAUAUCUAAUAUUUCCCACUUUAAGAUUGAUGUGCAUGUAUUAUACGAUUAUUUACCUUAUUUCUGGAUACUUUUACUUGUUUUAAUGAAUUUUUGUUAUGGGAUGACAGAGUGAUGGACCCAAGUGCAAAGAGGAAAUCCCAAGAGAAAGUGUGUUAGAUAAGUUUGAGGCAAUGGAGUGGGAAUUUGGCACAGAGUUGAGGUGACCCAGAGCCAUGCUCGAGUCGGUUACCGCUGCGACAAUGGAGAAAACACCUCAAGAAGCGGGAAAUAAAAGGCAGGACAAGGGCAAACAAAGGAAAUGCUGAAAGCAGCUCAAACAAAGGCUGAACUAGAAACAUGAAAUAAGAGAAUAAGAAAACAGAAGUAACUUCCUCUGUAAUUACGAGGGCAAGGUAGACUUUAUGUUUCACUUGUUUGCUCUUAGUGGAGGGAAUACCUUUUGUAUGGCUUGGAGCCAUUUGUAGCUCAAGCCUUGUCGCAGUUUUUAAGUCAUUUUGGGGUAAUUUCUCUCUUUCCUUUUUGUCUAAAUACCCACCUGGUCUAAGUACUGUACCGGUCACCCCUCUACAAACUUGUGACAAAGGGCAGCUGUUUGCUACGGCAAACAGGAGGAGUCCACAGGUCGAUCUGCUGCCUCUACAGCGAUGAUACGCAUUCUGUACACAGCAAGUCCACUAACUCACCGGUCUGCCUUACUCACAGCGUCCAGUGUUACUAAGGUCAUUUAUGAUGUGCCUUAAAGCCAAGAGAAGAUUUUGUUAUGUUUAAAGACUUUAAUAGGACACAGUAAUAAAUAAAUGAAUCACAUUUCA